GCCUGGCUGGCUUAAUCAGUAGAGCAUGUGACUCUUGAUCUCAGGGUUGUGGUUAAAGCUCCAUGUUGGGUG
rnacentral:tRNA from 1 species